CCUACGGGGGGCAGCAGUGGGGAAUAUUGCACAAUGGGCGCAAGCCUGAUGCAGCCAUGCCGCGUGUGUGAAGAAGGCCAUCGGGUUGUAAAGCACUUUCAGCGGGGAGGAAGGCGGUGAGGUUAAUAACCUCAUCGAUUGACGUUACCCGCAGAAGAAGCACCGGCUAACUCCGUGCCAGCAGCCGCGGUAAUACGGAGGGUGCAAGCGUUAAUCGGAAUUACUGGGCGUAAAGCGCACGCAGGCGGUCUGUCAAGUCGGAUGUGAAAUCCCCGGGCUCAACCUGGGAACUGCAUUCGAAACUGGCAGGCUAGAGUCUUGUAGAGGGGGGUAGAAUUCCAGGUGUAGCGGUGAAAUGCGUAGAGAUCUGGAGGAAUACCGGUGGCGAAGGCGGCCCCCUGGACAAAGACUGACGCUCAGGUGCGAAAGCGUGGGGAGCAAACAGGAUUAGAUACCCCAGUAGUC
rnacentral:rRNA from 1 species